ACGAACGCUGGCGGCAGGCCUAACACAUGCAAGUCGAACGUUCCGCAAGGGACGUGGCAGACGGGUGCAAAACGCGUGGGAAUUUACCCUAUACUUCGGAAUAACCCAGGGAAACUUGGGGUAAUACCGGAUACGCCCUUCGGGGGAAAGAUUUAUCGGUAUUGGAGAAGCCCGCGUCUGAUUAGCUAGUUGGUGAGGUAAUGGCUCACCAAGGCGACGAUCAGUAGCUGGUCUUAGAGGACGAUCAGCCACACUGGAACUGAGACACGGUCCAGACUCCUACGGGAGGCAGCAGUGGGGAAUAUUGGACAAUGGGGGAAACCCUGAUCCAGCCAUGCCGCGUGAGUGAUGAAGGCCUUCGGGUUGUAAAGCUCUUUUAGCAGGGACGAUGAUGACGGUACCUGCAGAAUAAGCCACGGCUAACUUCGU
rnacentral:rRNA from 1 species